rnacentral:rRNA from 1 species
UACGGGGGGGGGCAAGCGUUGUUCGGAAUUACUGGGCGUAAAGGGCGCGUAGGCGGUCCGCUAAGUUAGAUGUGAAAACUCUGGGCUCAACCCAGAGCCUGCAUCUAAUACUGACGGGCUAGAGUUCUGGAGGGGGUAGCGGAAUUCCUGGUGUAGCGGUGAAAUGCGCAGAUAUCAGGAGGAACACCGGUGGCGAAGGCGGGACUCUGGGCCGAUACUGACGCUGAGGAGCGAAAGCGUGGGGAGCGAACAGG